UUGAAUUUGAAAAAGUGGCACCGGCUGGAAUCGAACCGUGUAGGGCAAAAAAAUGAAGCGCUGAGUAAAAUAAAUUCCAAAAUGAUGGAGCUGGGAAUCGAAGCGAGUGCGUCUCAAAACGCUGGCGUAUCAUUAAUGCAUUGGCGCCCAGUCAACCGGUCAAAAGCCACGCGAGCGAAGUCAAAAGAACGAUAGCCAAUAGGAUGGCCAACAAGCGCUUGCGUGUAUGCACACGCUGUCAAAACCCUAACCAGCUCACAAUAGU
rnacentral:lncRNA from 1 species